rnacentral:rRNA from 1 species
GGUUGAUCCUGCCAGUAGUCAUAUGCUUGUCUCAAAGAUUAAGCCAUGCAUGUCUAAGUAUAAACAAAUUUGUACUGUGAAACUGCGAAUGGCUCAUUAAAUCAGUUAUAGUUUAUUUGAUAGUACCUUACUACUUGGAUAACCGUGGUAAUUCUAGAGCUAAUACAUGCUAAAAAUCCCGACUUCUGGAAGGGAUGUAUUUAUUAGAUAAAAAACCAAUGCGGGCAACCGCUUAUUAGGUGAUUCAUAAUAACUUUUCGAAUCGUAUGGCUUUACGCCGACGAUGGUUCAUU